UUCAAGAAGAAGAAAGAUUGGUGAUGGAAAUGGAUAAAGAUGUUAUAAUGCAAAUAUGGGAAAGAUCACGAACUUGAAAGGUAAACCAAUCUCAUUUGUCUGUUAUGAGUCUAAUAUGGUUGACGUUAUUUAUAACACAUGGUGGAUUGAUUUUGGUUCUACAAUCCAUAUUUCGAAUACCUUCGAGGGUAUGACCAACGUAAGGAAAACACUCCAAGUGAGCAAAGCAU
rnacentral:lncRNA from 1 species